UAAUUAAGCCGUUACGAUGUAUUCGUGCGAACCAGGUCAGGACAGGAAUGUAGCAGCCUUAAACAUUGAAUCCAUGUGUGACGGUUUUAUUUUAU
rnacentral:SRP_RNA from 1 species